CUAUCAGGCAUCACCAGGGUAGCUGGGAACGGAAGGCUUUCCAGGGUACCAGUUGACUGGUUGAGGCGGUGAGACAGGAGAAGAAUUCUAAAAGAGGGAACAGCAAGUUCGGAGACCCUCAAGAAGUCGGGAGCAUAGCGUGUUCCAGGACCUGAGACCUGCUGCCCUCAGGAGCAUGGGGACUGGGCCCUGCAUGCGUGGGGGCCCCCCCUGUGGGCUGUGCUCUCAUGGCUACUCUAACCAGCCUCAGCCUUUGGGUCGAGCUAUUCCCACAGCUCUCAGCACUCAGUAAAGACAGGCAGGAGAACAAUGGCGACAGACCUCGGGGAGGGCAUGCAAGAGGAGGAAUUAAUGCAAGUCUGUGAAUUAAAUAGCAACAAGCAUAAAGCUGGAGCCCACAGCAGAGGUCACUAACUUCAGGGCUGCUAAACCCCAGAGGCCAUCUUCUGCAAAGAGCGGUUCUUCCCUUCCCAUCUCUGGUUCUGGAGCUUCGAGCUGGUUGUCAGGUCCCUGCGGCUCUCUGGCACCUGAAGGACGUGCUCCCCAGCAUCCGUUGCCACCCGCAGUGCCCCCUCGUGCACAGGGCCUGCCCGGGAACAGGCGGCGCCUCCCCGCACCUGCUGUCCUGUUUCCUCUCCAGCUCUGCUUUGGUUCCAGGGUGACUGACAUAAAGGACCCGAAGCCAAGGUAGGAGAAUACAAACGCACGUGCGGCAAACCCUUGGGAAGGAAAUGUCAUGGUGGCUGCAACUUACUUUCAAAUCGUUCAGCCAAAAUAGACCUUUGAAGCCUGUGCAACUGUGCCUGGUCAAACUCCUGUUCAUUCUUCAAAUCCCAGCCUAGACUCUUCCUCCGGGAAGCCUUCUCUAACUUAUCCAGGACCAUUCAGGGACCCUCCAUCUGGGCUCCCAGAACCCCUCUCCUUUAUCUAUAAAGAAUUAAACUUCA